rnacentral:rRNA from 1 species
AGCCUGAACGCUGGCGGCGUGGCUAAGACAUGCAAGUCGUACGGGUGUAGCAAUACACCAGUGGCGCACGGGUGAGUAAAGUAUCGCUAACGUACCCCGAAGUCUGGGAUAGCUGAGGGAAACUUCAGGUAAUACCAGAUGACAUCACUGAGGAGCAUUCCUCGGUGCUCAAAGGAGCAAUACGCUUUGGGAGCGGGCGAUAUCGUAUCAGCUAGUUGGUGAGGUAACGGCUCACCAAGGCGACGACGCGUAGCUGGUCUGAGAGGACGGCCAGCCACAUUGGGACUGAGACACUGCCCAGACUCCUACGGGGGGCUGCAGUAACGAAUCUUCCGCAAUGCACGAAAGUGUGACGGAGCGACGCCGCGUGUGGGACGAAGUUCUUCGGAAUGUAAACCACUGUCAGGGGUUAGAAAGUUCUGAUCAACCCAGAGGAAGGCACGGCUAACUCUGCGCCAGCAGCCGCGGU